ensembl:lncRNA
GAAUAAUCUUAUCGUCUGUGAGAACUCACAGCAGAGUUCCCCUUAACACAGUCUCAUUUGGACACAAGUUUUCAGAUGAAAAUUGUCACUACUGAUGAGCAAAGAUAGAGCUGGACAGAUCAGGCAACUUGCCUCUACCUCCCCAACGAUCGCAGAAUGUCACUUCUUCACCAUGAAGCCGAAGUUUAUCAUACCCCAAGAACCAUACCACCCUGAACACGCCCGAUCUCGUCUGAUCUCAGAAGACAAAGUGAGAGAGCUCCCUGCCAGGCCAGGAUCUGGAAACAUGGGUCUCCUGACUGCUGCCUCAUGUGCUCCAUGCCUGUCGAGGUUCUACCUGCUCACCCUUCAGGGAGGUCCCAGGAGAUGACAAACCUCUGACACAUGGUGCUUGAAAGCCACGGAACACUUCCACCUGAGGACUCCACUGUGUGCCUCGUUGGACCCUUCAGCAAGCUGAGAAUACAGCUCCUCCAUCAUGAAAAAAGAAAAAUCACAAACUCUGUACGAUUAGGAGAACAGCAACAAAGCUAGAACUUUUAUCUAAUUAUCAGUGUGUCCUCUUCUAGGAUGUUAAAUGUCUCCCAAAGUUUCAGAAUUUGUCUAGCAAGUAUUUAUCAUUUUGAAAACUAGAGGUCUUAGAAAAUAAUAAAAGAUGAUGACAAGUCAAUUUAGCCUGGGUAAGUGUUAUCUUGGCUAAUGAAAGUCCAUUUCUG